rfam:Schistosoma rodhaini strain Burundi genome assembly, scaffold: SROB_scaffold0002454
GCACUGCUGAGGAGUCCCAUAAAAAGGACGAAACGGCCGUCCAGUGC